GAUGAAGAACGUAGUGAAAUGCGAUAAGUAAUGCGAAUUGCAGAAUUUCUAGUGAGUCAUCGAAUCUUUGAACGCACAUUGCGCCCUUUGGUAUUCCGAAGGGCAUGCCUGUUCGAGCGUCAUUAUCAACCCUCAAGCCUGGCUUGUUGUUGGACCUCAGGUCGCCGCUCCGGUGGACCGGUCUCAAAGACAAUGACGGCGUCCGUGGGACCCUCGGUGCAAUGAGCUUCUUCCAAAGCACGCAUCAGAGUGGGCUCGCGGGGGCCGUCUCCCCGUCAUAUUUUAUCAAGGUUGACCUCGGAUCAGGUAGGAAUACCCGCUGAACUUAAGCAUAUCAAUAAGCGGAGGA
rnacentral:misc_RNA from 1 species